UUUUUUAAUUUUUUUCUGAAUUAUACUAUUUCGAAAUUCAAACCCUAAACCCUAAAACUCAACUCUAAACCCUAAACCAUCAAUCAUAAACCAUAUUUUUUUGAAAUACGAACCCUAAACCCUAAACCAUCAAUCCUAAACCCUUUUUUUUAAAUAAACCCUAAACCCCGAAACAUCAACUCUAAACCCUAAACCCCGAAACAUCAACUCUAAACCCUAAACACUAAACCUUCAACUCUAAACCCUAAAACAUCAACUCUAAACCUUAAACCCUAAACUUCAACUCUAAACCCUAAACCAUCAACACUAAACCCUAAACUAUCAACACUAAACCCUAAACCCUAAAAAGUAAAUUCUAAACCCUAAACCCUAAAAAAUUAACCCUAAACCCUAAAACAUCAAUUCUAAACCCUAAACCCU
rnacentral:lncRNA from 1 species